rnacentral:lncRNA from 1 species
UUAAAUCAAAGAUAAAAAUGAAUUGCAAGAAUAACUUCAAUAUCAUGUAAAUUGCUAGAAUCAUAUAUUACAAGAUUAAAAGAUUACAUUCUAAGCUCAAUCAAGUGCCUCUAAUCCCAGCUAAGGAGAUUUAGUUCAUCAUUGUCAUGAGAACAUUACAAAAGUGGAAUGAAAGUUGAGAAUCCAUGCAAGGACUUGAUUUCUCCAAGAAUCUUGAUGAAUCCACACUCAAUCACUAUUGCCCAGUAUACACAGUGUAUUUUCGCCCUCUUCUCUCUCUAA